rnacentral:rRNA from 1 species
UACAGAGGUCUCAAGCGUUGUUCGGAUUCAUUGGGCGUAAAGGGUGCGUAGGCGGCGCGGUAAGUCGGGUGUGAAAUCUCGGGGCUUAACUCCGAAACUGCAUUCGAUACUGCCGUGCUUGAGGACUGGAGAGGAGACUGGAAUUUACGGUGUAGCGGUGAAAUGCGUAGAUAUCGUAAGGAAGACCAGUGGCGAAGGCGGGUCUCUGGACAGUUCCUGACGCUGAGGCACGAAGGCCAGGGGGAGC